rnacentral:rRNA from 1 species
UACUGCCUACGGGGGGCAGCAGUGGGGGAUAUUGGACAAUGGGGGGAACCCUGAUCCAGCGACGCCGCGUGAAGGAAGAAGGCUUUCGGGUUGUAAACUUCUUUUCUGGGGGACGAACAAAUGACGGUACCCCAGGAAUAAGCCACGGCUAACUACGUGCCAGCAGCCGCGGUAAUACGUAGGUGGCAAGCGUUAUCCGGAUUUAUUGGGUGUAAAGGGCGUGUAGGCGGGAAUGCAAGUCAGAUGUGAAAACUAUGGGCUCAACCCAUAGCCUGCAUUUGAAACUGUAUUUCUUGAGUGCCGGG